AGUGUAGGUGCUUGUUAGAGAACAAGGGUACUGAGCGUGACCAAGACAAGAAGUCACUUGGAUGUCUAUCCACUCGUCAGUGACUUGCUUGAUGUUGCAGUAGUGUGACUGGUCCUUUGACCUGCGGUGCUUCGGCUAUUCACAGUGAGGUUAUUGUAGUUUGACUGCACAUAUACAUGGUCUCUAGUCAUAUGGGUCCUUGUUGUGUAGAUUGGCUGCAGUAGGUUCAUUGUAGGAGUAGGGUAUGCACUUACAUGGAAUCUAUCGAUCUUGAUAGAAGAGGAGUGAUCCUAUGUGAUUUGUUAGACUGAGUUCUAAAACCUUGGCCAGGGCAGUAAUAUAAAGUGGAGAAAGAGUUUUUCACUAUCGAACUCAAGUCAAAUAAAUCUAGACAUAUGACAGACGACGGGGUUUGACGAGUUAUCCAUGACCUCCGGUCUGUAGGGAUCCACGAUAGAAGGACGGUAUCAUACGAUAACUGUACCUAGAGGUUCAUCAUUCUAUUCUGCUGGGUGGCCACUACAUACUGCUAGGUGUCACUGGUGGAUGGUGAGACUCACAGGGAUCAUCUUGAUGGUCGAUAAUUCCUGGUGAGUUGAGUUGGAAUUGUUUCAACCCAUUGAAAGAAGUUUUCAAUGAUAUUGUGAUAGAGAUUGCAAUAUAUCUCACUACCAGUCAGAAUA
rnacentral:lncRNA from 1 species